rnacentral:rRNA from 1 species
GACGAACGCUGGCGGCGUGCUUAACACAUGCAAGUCGAACGGAAAGGCCCUGCUUUUGUGGGGUGCUCGAGUGGCGAACGUGUGAGUAACACGUGAGUAACCUGCCCUUGACUUUGGGAUAACUUCAGGAAACUGGGGCUAAUACCGGAUAGGAUCUCCUGCUGCAUGGUGGGGGUUGGAAAGUUUCGGCGGUUGGGGAUGGACUCGCGGCUUAUCAGCUUGUUGGUGGGGUAGUGGCUUACCAAGGCUUUGACGGGUAGCCGGCCUGAGAGGGUGACCGGCAACAUUGGGAGUGAGAGACGGACCAGAAUGCAACGGGAGGCAGCAGUGGGGAAUAGUGAAAAAUGGGCGGAAGCCAGAUGCAGCAACGCCGCGUGCGGGAUGAAGGCCUUCGGGGUGUAAACCGAUUUCGACUGUGACGAAGCGUGAGUGACGGUAAUGGGUAAAGAAGCACCGGCUAACUACGUG